ACCUGGCUGGCUCAGAAGGGUACAUGACUCUUGAUCUUGGGGUCGGGGGUUCAAUCCCCAUGUUGGGUA
rnacentral:tRNA from 1 species